UCCUCCAUCAUCCACCUUGAAGGCUUGCUUCCAAGAUUCAAGAUUCAACCAUCUAGCUCUCCAUCUCCAUCUCCACUCACGGUGUAAUUCGUUCCUUUUCCUUGUAACCUUUUUGGUUUCCUUGUUUGAUUUCGUAUGAACUUGUUUCUAGUUAACAAUAAUGUUUAGGGCAAAGUUUAAGCCCAAUUUCUAUGUUUAAAUAAAGUUUUCGAAUUCUAUAAUUGUGAUUCUAAGUUGCUUAUGUGAGUUUGUUCGAUUAAAUUUGCUUUACAGAAAACUUUUAUAUGUUUAUCUUAUUUGGGUCGACACUUAUAGGAUUUGCAUGUAAUUGGUGCUAGGUUUAAGAACAUGAAAUCGACUUUUCGUUUUGUGUAACUUGAAUCAAAAGUAGUAAAGGUUCUGGACAAGAAUCGAAUUUAAUUGAAGAGGAUUGCAAUUAGGUGGACUUUUCCAUAACUAAGUUGUACACUUGAGUUGAUAGCCUUUCUCUAUGUCUAAUGCGUUGAACAUGUGCUUUCGCUUAGGUUAA
rnacentral:lncRNA from 1 species